rnacentral:other from 1 species
GAAGUGGUGAGGAUAACCACAAGCAGGAAGCCGGACACGCAUAAGGAAUGCGUCAGCGCACAGUGAGGUGAGCUGCAAGGAUGAUUCAGGAUACUCUAGGGAUGUGAGAGGAACCCCAUCAGGACGAUGGCAAGGACACCGCUCAAGGAACAAGUGAUGAAGGCUGAAUAGGAUUAUUCGGCAUCAGGACGAAUAGGACACCGCUAGGAUGGCGAUGCUCGGAGUUCGCUGAAAGGAUCAGCCCGUUAAGGAUGAUGCAUGGAGCACAUUCAAGUAGCCGGAUGCUGCGACUAAGAUUAAGCCCCGACACCUGUGUCGGGGCUUUCCUUAAUCU